rnacentral:rRNA from 1 species
GACGAACGCUGGCGGCGUGCCUAAUAUAUGCAAGUAGAACGCACAGUUUAUACCGUAGCUUGCUACACCAUAGACUGUGAGUUGCGAACGGGUGAGUAACGCGUAGGUAACCUGCCUGGUAGCGGGGGAAAACUAUUGGAAACGAUAGCUAAUACCGCAUAAUAUUAAUUAUUGCAUGAUAAUUAAUUUAAAGGUGCAAUUGCACCUCUACCAGAUGGACCUGCGUUGUAUUAGCUAGUAGGUGAGGUAACGGCUCACCUAGGCAGCGAUACAUAGCCGAACUGUGAGGGUGAUCGGCGAGACUGGGACUGAGGAACGGCCCAGACUCCUACGCAAGGCAGCAGAAGGGAGUCUUCGGAAAUGGACGGAAGUCUGACCGAUCAACGCCGCGUGAGUGUAGGAGGUUUUCGGAUCGGAAAGCUCUGUUGUAAGAGAAGAACGGGUGUGAGAGUGGAAAGUUCACACUGUGACGAUAUCUAACCAGAAAGGGACGGCUAGCUACGUG